rnacentral:rRNA from 1 species
UACGUAGGGGGCUAGCGUUGUCCGGAAUCAUUGGGCGUAAAGAGCGUGUAGCGGCCCGGUAAGUCCGCUGUAAAAGUCAAAGGCUCAACCUUUGAAUGUCAGUGGAUACUGCCGGGCUAGAGUCCGGAAGAGGCGAGUGGAACUCCUGGUGUAGCGGUGGAAUGCGCAGAUAUCAGGAGGAACACCGGUGGCGAAGGCGGUUCUCUGGGCAUUACCUGACGCUGAGGAGCGAAAGUGUGGGGAGCGAACAGG